UACAGAGGUCUCAAGCGUUGUUCGGAUUCAUUGGGCUUAAAGGGUGCGUAGGCGGCGCGGUAAGUCGGGUGUGAAAUCUCGGAGCUUAACUCCGAAACUGCAUUCGAUACUGCCGUGCUUGAGGACUGGAGAGGAGACUGGAAUUUACGGUGUAGCGGUGAAAUGCGUAGAUAUCGUAAGGAAGACCAGUGGCGAAGGCGGGUCUCUGGACAGUUCCUGACGCUGAGGCACGAAGGUCAGGGGAGCAAACGGG
rnacentral:rRNA from 1 species